rnacentral:rRNA from 1 species
AAUAGCCUCCGUUUUGCCUGAUUCGAGGGCGUCGGCGAAGAAGUCCACGCGUUCCAGUACCCGGUCGUAGCAAGCUUGAAAGAAGUGGUUGAGCACUGCGAAGGCCUCGGUGGCGGCGUCAAUGUCUUUGGCGGCGAGAGCUUCUGUGAACUUGUGCGCGGUGGCGAGGGCGUUUUCACAGUUGUCACCGAUGUUCCACAAGACUUCUGCUUCCCAACCGUCCCGGAGAUCUGCGGACUUGAUCAUUCCGAAUAGCCCCUCUGGUUCCGGAAUGAACCUCUUCGCUGUGAAUGGCGCGGUAGUUUCCGGUUUCCCAAACUUGUUGAGCUUUCCCGUAGCGGUGUAAGCUCGUCGCGCUGCAAAGGUUUCAGCGACUUGUUCGGCGGAAGGGGAUGGUAAUGAAAACUGUAGACUUCCCAACUGAAAGGCUUCUGCGGAAGGUGAAGAUUUGUCGGCAGGCGGGUCCGACGGGUCCUCGGCGGCACUUGCAGUCGCAGCUGGUGUAGGAGCGGCUGCGUUCCCGGAGUUCGAGCGAAGAAGGUUGACGAUUUCGGAGAGCUGGCCUUCAAUGCCAGCAACUUUGUUCUCGAGAGUGACGAUGCGAGACUGAGAGGAUGGUGCAGAGGAGGAGGAGGAGGAUUCAUUAGUCAUGGUGUUGUUGACGUGUUUGUGAAUGUCGGCCUAGACGAGGAUUCGCCCGGAGCUGGUUCGAAGGUUGAGAACAAGCGACGACUGGAGGGACCAGAAGUUGUGCCAAAGUUUUCCAAGUUGUCGGUUAUAUAGACCUGUUCGACGGGUUCUGAUCGCACAUCAAGUCCUUGAGCUAAAGUUAAAUGCGCAGGGGUGUCGCUGCUUGGUUGAGCGGCACCGGCAAAAACGUCGGCCCUGUGGGCCACUUUUGGUAAGCAGAACUGGCGAUACGGGAUGAACCGUAAGCACGGUUAAGGCGCCCAAGUGCCCGCUUAUAGACCACAUAAAAGGCGUUGAUUCAUCGAGACAGCAGGACGGUGGCCAUGGAAGUCGGAAUCCGCUAAGGAGUGUGUAACAACUCACCUGCCGAAUGAAUUAGCCCUGAAAAUGGAUGGCGCUGAAGCGGGCUGCCGACACCGUGCCGUCUGGGCGAGAAAGGCCCCAGAUGAGUAGGAGGGCGUGGCGGUCGUAUCAAAGCACGCGUGCAAACGCGUGUGGAACGGCCGCUAGUGCAGAUCUUGGUGGAAGUAGCAAGUAUUCAAGCGAGAUCCUUGAAGGGCGAAGCGGGGAAGGGUUCCACGCGAACAUUUAUUGGGCGUGGGUGAGUCGUUCCUAAGCCGAGUGGCGAUUGCUAAGUAGCGGCGAAAGGGAAGCGGGUUGAAAUUCCCGCACACGGAUGUGGACGCGGUGACGCGAUUGAUGCGGCGAAGACGCUGGCGACGGCGCUGGGCAGAGUUGUAUUUUCUGUUUGACCAGUUUGCGCGCACGGUGUGGAAUCCGCUUGUCGGGAGAAACACGCGUGUGCGGGCAGAGCGCCGGGGCUUUUCCGGCGUCCACCUCGCCGUCGACGGCCCUUGAAAAUUUGCCUGCUGAAAAUCUUUGAUUUGAAAUCCACGCCCUGGCGUACCGAUCACCGCAUUAGGUCCCCAAGGUGAACAGCCUCUGCUCAGUAUGAAUAAUGCAGGUAAGGGAAGUCGGCAAAUUAGACCCGUAACUUUGGGAAAAGGGUUGGCUCUAGUGCUGCGUGGGAGUGGUUGCCGGGUUCUGGCGCGCGCAGCUGUGCGGCCUUCGGCGCGGGACCUCGCAAGGGGACCUGUGCCGUGCCGCUGAGUCUGCGCGCCGCCACGCCUGGCGACGCCCACGGCAUGCAGCAGACUAGAACUGCAACGGGCAAAGGGAAUCCGACUGUUUAAUUAAAAAAAGCAUUGCGAGGGCCAUGGCCAGUGAUGACGCAAUGUGAUUUCUGCUCAGUGCUCUGAAUGUCAAAGUGAAGAGAUUCAAUCAAGCGCGGGUACACAGCGGGAGUAACUAUGACUCUCUUAAGGUAGCCAAAUGCCUCGUCAUUUAAUUAGUGACGCGCAUGAAUGGAUUAACGAGAUUCCUACUGUCCCUAUCUGCUUAUAGCGAAACCACAGCCGAGGGAACAGGCUCGGCAGAAUCGCCGGGGAAAGAAGACCCUGCUGAGCUUGACUCUAUUCUAAUUUUGAGAAGCAAGUUGGGAGGUGUAGCAUAGGUGGGAGCGCUCACGCGCGGCCGUGAAAUACCACUACUCCCAGUCUUGCUUUAUUUACUGGGUUGGUGUGGAUGGGCGCUUGUACCGCCCGAUUCUGGAACCAACGCCGGGCGCUUUGCGCAUGCGGACCACAGCCCAGGACAGAUUAGGAGGGGAGUUUGGCUGGGGCGGCACAUCUUCUACAAGACAACGAAGGUGUCCAAAGAUGAGCUCAGUGAGAACAGAAAUCUCACGUAGCGCAAAAGGGUAAAAGCUCGUUUGAUUUCGAUUUUCAGUGCGAGUCGAAAACGCGAAAGCGUGGCCUAUCGAUCCUUUCACGAUUCGAGAUUUGAAGCGAGAGGUGUCAAAAAAGCUUCCACAGAAAUAACUGGCUUGUGGCGGCCAAGCGUUCAUAGCGACGUCGCUUUUUGAUCCUUCGAUGUCGGCUCUUCCUAUCAUUGUAUAGCAGAAUACACCAAGUGUCGGAUUGUUCACCCGCCAACAGGGAACGUGAGCUGGGUUUAGACCGUCGUGAGACAGGUUAGUUUUAUCCUACCCAUGAGUUGUUGUCGCGCCAGUAAUUCAAGGCAGUACGAGAGGAACGCUUGAUUCAGAUCACUGGCUCAUGCAGCUGCACGACCCUGCACUGCUGCGACCCUACCAUCUGAAUGAUAAGAAAGG